rnacentral:lncRNA from 1 species
GGUUCACAGAGACGAAUGCGCAGGCCUGCCUGUUCACGGUGUCGCAGGGCUGCACACCCCCCCAGAAGACCAGACAGUUCCAGCUGUUGUGGGAAGUCAGUGGAGGUUUUACAAGCUGUUGUCUGAACAUGCUGCAGAAGCCCGUCACUCAACAUUGCCCUCACUAACACCCGCUUCUUUCCCGCGGUGACUCAGCCGCCCCACAGGAAGGGCAGCGGGGGGGAGGAGGGCAGAGGGAGGGGCAGUCCUGGAAGUCAGGGGUGAGGAGUCCCGUCUGCUGACUCACACGCCUUGGUCGGGGUUUUAAGGAGAUCGGGGGACCCCUCGGUGAGUCAGCCUCUCAGGGCAGGCAGGGGUCAGUGGGUCACUGUCUCGUGCGUGGUUCUGUCUUCUAGCUCCGGUUCCAGCUGUAUUCACUAAUCAUUUGCGGUCUGCGAGAGCCAGCGAAAAGGAGGAUGGAAAGAUAUUGACUCCCAGAGGCCCCUGGACAGAUGUGUACCAGGGCCCAAAGGUCAGACCCUGAUUGAUUAGUACCUGGCCAUGAUCUCAUGGAAGGCACACAGCUGCUGACGGCUGGGGAGUGAGGAGUGAGAUGAGACGGAGUGAGGAGAGGGAGAUGGAGGAGUGAGACGAGACGGAGUGAGGCGGAGGGGAUGGAGGAGUGAGACGAGGCGGAGUGAGGCGGAGGGGAUGGAGGAGUGAGACGAGACGGAGCGAGGAGAGGGAGAUGGGGGAGUGAGACAAGACGGAGUGAGGCGGAGGGGAUGGAGGAGUGAGACAAGGCGGAGU